rnacentral:rRNA from 1 species
ACGGGUGAGUAACGCGUGGGAACGUGCCUUCCGGUUCGGAAUAACCCUGGGAAACUAGGGCUAAUACCGGAUACGCCCUUAUGGGGAAAGGUUUACUGCCGGAAGAUCGGCCCGCGUCUGAUUAGCUAGUUGGUGGGGUAACGGCCUACCAAGGCGACGAUCAGUAGCUGGUCUGAGAGGAUGAUCAGCCACACUGGGACUGAGACACGGCCCAGACUCCUACGGGAGGCAGCAGUGGGGAAUAUUGGACAAUGGGCGCAAGCCUGAUCCAGCCAUGCCGCGUGAGUGAUGAAGGCCUUAGGGUUGUAAAGCUCUUUUAUCCGGGACGAUAAUGACGGUACCGGAGGAAUAAGCCCCGGCUAACUUCGUGCCAGCAGCCGCGGUAAUACGAAGGGGGCUAGCGUUGCUCGGAAUCAGUGGGCGUAAAGGGCGCGUAGGCGGCGUUUUAUGUCGGGGGUGAAAGCCUGUGGCUCAACCACAGAAUGGCCUUCGAUACUGGGACGCUUGAGUAUGGUAGAGGUUGGUGGAACUGCGAGUGUAGAGGUGAAAUUCGUAGA